rnacentral:rRNA from 1 species
GAUGAACGCUGGCGGCGUGCCUAAUACAUGCAAGUCGAGCGAACGGACGAGAAGCUUGCUUCUCUGAUGUUAGCGGCGGACGGGCGAGUAACACGUGGAUAACCUACCUAUAAGACUGGGAUAACUUCGGGAAACCGUAGCUAAUACCGGAUAAUAUUUUGAACCGCAUGGUUCAAAAGUGAAAGACGGUCUUGCUGUCACUUAUAGAUGGAUCCGCGCUGCAUUAGCUAGUUGGUAAGGUAACGGCUUACCAAGGCAACGAUGCAUAGCCGACCUGAGAGGGUGAUCGGCCACACUGGAACUGAGACACGGUCCAGACUCCUACGGGAGGCAGCAGUAGGGAAUCUUCCGCAAUGGGCGAAAGCCUGACGGAGCAACGCCGCGUGAGUGAUGAAGGUCUUCGGAUCGUAAAACUCUGUUAUUAGGGAAGAACAUAUGUGUAAGUAACUGUGCACAUCUUGACGGUACCUAAUCAGAAAGCCACGGCGAACUACGU